CGCCAGACUCCUACGGGAGGCAGCAGUGGGGAAUAUUGCACAAUGGGGGAAACCCUGAUGCAGCGACGCCGCGUGAGUGAAGAAGUAUUUCGGUAUGUAAAGCUCUCUCAGCAGGGAAGAAAAUGACGGUACCUGACUAAGAAGCCCCGGCUAACUACGUGCCAGCAGCCGCGGUAAUACGUAGGGGGCAAGCGUUAUCCGGAUUUACUGGGUGUAAAGGGAGCGUAGACGGCAUGGCAAGUCAGAUGUGAAAGCCCGGGGCUCAACCCCGGGACUGCAUUUGAAACUGUCAGGCUGGAGUGCAGGAGAGGUAAGUGGAAUUCCUAGUGUAGCGGUGAAAUGCGUAGAUAUUAGGAGGAACACCAGUGGCGAAGGCGGUUUACUGGACUGUAACUGACGUUGAGGCUCGAAAGCGUGGGGAGCAAACAGGAUUAGAUACCCGAGUAG
rnacentral:rRNA from 1 species